GACGAACGCUGGCGGCGUGCUUAACACAUGCAAGUCGAACGGAAGGCCCUGCUUUUGUGGGGUGCUCGAGUGGCGAACGGGUGAGUAACACGUGAGUAACCUGCCCUUGACUUUGGGAUAACUUCAGGAAACUGGGGCUAAUACCGGAUAGGAGCUCCUGCUGCAUGGUGGGGGUUGGAAAGUUUCGGCGGUUGGGGAUGGACUCGCGGCUUAUCAGCUUGUUGGUGGGGUAGUGGCUUACCAAGGCUUUGACGGGUAGCCGGCCUGAGAGGGUGACCGGCCACAUUGGGACUGAGAUACGGCCCAGACUCCUACGGGAGGCAGCAGUGGGGAAUAUUGCACAAUGGGCGGAAGCCUGAUGCAGCAACGCCGCGUGCGGGAUGACGGCCUUCGGGUUGUAAACCGCUUUCGCCUGUGACGAAGCGUGAGUGACGGUAAUGGGUAAAGAAGCACCGGCUAACUACGU
rnacentral:rRNA from 1 species